rnacentral:rRNA from 1 species
CUCGAKGCAUGACUAGCUAACUGAAAUCAUGAAAUGAUUUUAAAAAAUUAAUUUCAUAAUAAUGUAAGAGAAAAUAAUGAUAUUAUCUUACUAUUAGUGUUGUCAAAAGCUGUUAAGUGUUUUAGGAAAACAUUAUUACGGCUAAAACUAUCAAACUCCGGGGACUCCUUAAAGCCUAUAGUACCAAACUAUAUUUGAAAAUAUAUAAGUGGCUGAAUUAAUUACUCAGGUAUGGUAACAAGCUAUAAGAUGAAUGAAAAUGAAAUAGGAUAUCGCGGAUCUAAAUCAGAUAUAAUUCAAAACCCACACAAAAUUGAAUUUUCUGUAAAAGAGCAACGAGUAGACGGUAGUUGGUUUCUAAAAAAAAUAAACAUAGCUGUACCAUUUAGAAACUUAAGGUGUACUCUAAUGGAUUUCGAAAGAAAUUAUCAAAUCAAAAUCCUUUCUAAACAAUUAAAUAAAUUAUUUUAUUCUACAGUUAAUAAUAUUAAACUUAAUCCUUGAUUUGUAACAGGUUUUAUAGAUGCUGAAGGUUGUUUUUGUAUACAAUUUAUAAAAAUAAAAAGCUUAAAACUGGUUGACGAAUUGUUAUCUUAUUUUGAAAUAGGAUUAAUCCAAAAGAUAAUUUAUUAUUAUAYCMAUUACAAAAUUUUUUUUGGARGAAUAGGUCCCUAAGGUUAGAAUAAAAAAUCUAAUGCCUUAAAGUUUUCCGUGGCUGAUAUUAAAGAAUUAAAUAUAUAUAUCCUCMCUUAAAAAAUUCCCCUAUUAMCUCAAAAAUUUAUUAUCCUKAACAGACCAUAUUAUAACAGGUWWCUUGUCCCUUAUGAGUUUCAGAUUGUAUCAGGAUGGAMUUUGACGUGGUAUAGACCAUUAACAAUUAAAUUGGAUUUAAAGUAUAUUUAGACUUGGAUUAACACAACAUCAMGAGUUAUUAAUUAUUAGAGUUAUUAAUAAAUUAUUUAGUGCAGGUAGACUUGAAAAUAWUCUGGAAGCUUCUGUUAUAAAUUUAGUCAUUGGUAAUUUUCAGACUUAAAAACAAAAAUUAUACCAUUUUUUAACAAAUAUCUUAUUCAAGGAAUAAAGGCAUUUAGGAUUAUUUAGAUUGAUGUAAAAUUGGCUAAUCUAAUAAAUUUAAAGUCUCAUCUAACAAUUGAAGGUAUAGAUGAAAUUAUAAAAAUUAAGUCGAUAAUGAAUAAAGGAAGAAAAACAUAAAAUAUUUAAUUGCAUGAUAAAUUUGAUGAACCAUGGGUGCCAGAAGACUCGGUAAGACCAGAAACGCAAACGUUAGUCAUCUUAAUCAGGCGUAAAGGGUUUUUAGGCAGCUUUAACAAUUUAUAAUUUUUAAUAGCUCUAAUUAAAGUUUUUAAUUAGUAAAAUUUAAAUCAAUUAAAGCUAGAAUCAAAAAGAAGUUAAGUAAAUAAUACUUAGAGUAAGCGACAAUGUGAUAAAUACUAGGUAGAAUACUAAAGGCGAAAGCUUUUUUUCUAAUAAAUGAUUGACGCUGAGAAACGAAGGUGUGGGUAACAAAAAGGAUUAGAGACCCUCAGCAGUCCACACUGUCAACGAUGAAUGGUAGUCUGUCAAUUUAAAGUAAAUUGGUGGCAAAGCUAACGCGUUAACCAUUCCGCCUUGCGAGUACGGUUGCAAAACUGAAACCAAAAAAAUUAGUCGGUCUCGAWUCAAACG